rnacentral:rRNA from 1 species
UACGGAGGGUGCGAGCGUUGUCCGGAUUUAUUGGGCGUAAAGCGCUCGCAGGCGGCUCGAUGCGUCGUGCGUGAAACACCCCGGCUCAACUGGGGAGGGUCAUUCGAUACUGAUCGACUCGAAGGCAGGAGAGGGUAGUGGAAUUCCCGGUGUAGUGGUGAAAUGCGUAGAUAUCGGGAGGAACACCAGUGGCGAAGGCGACUACCUGGCCUGUUCUUGACGCUGAGGCGCGAAAGCUAGGGGAGCAAACGGG